GUAGUACUCCCUCCGUUCGGAAUUACUUGUCACAAAAAUGGAUGUAUCUACAACUAAAAUACAUCUAGAUACAUUCAUUUCUUGGACUAGUAAUUCCGAACGGAGGGAGUAUGUA
rnacentral:pre_miRNA from 1 species